AAACAGGCUUUUCAAAUUUGCUAACAAAUUCCAAACACUGUUAGAACUGAACUGAAUAUUUUCCUAGUUUUUUUUCAGAUUGCUGGAAGAAUUGAAAAACCAAUUAAUUGGCCAUCUCUAAGGUCUGAGUGACUGUCCCUUGUGCUUCCUGUUUGGUCUGGGUUUCCUGUUCUGGGUACUAAUCAGCAACUGGACUGGACCUCUACAGCAUUGAGCUUCUAAGGCAAGAUAACAUUUUCAGCUGAAAAGUUUCGUCUAGUUCUACGAGCUUCCUGGCAAAUUCCCUGGGCCAUGGUCACAGUGUCUUAGGCAGACUUAAGAAUACAACCGUGCCUUUCAGUCCAUGCAGACAGAAAUUUCAAGCAUCUGGAUAUACAGGAGCUGGGAUUUUCAAAGAGGCCCAGGUGAGG